rnacentral:rRNA from 1 species
AUACGGAGGUUGCAAGCUUUACUCGGAAUCACUGGGCGUAAAGCGCGCGCAGGCGGCUAUUUAAGUUGGAUGUGAAAGCCUACGGCUCAACCGUAGAACUGCAUCCAAAACUAUUUAGCUAGAGUGUGGGAGAGGAAGAUGGAAUUAGUUGUGUAGGGGUAAAAUCCGUAGAGAUAACUAGGAAUACCAAAAGCGAAGGCAAUCUUCUGGAACACUACUGACGCUGAGGCGCGAAAGCGUGGGGAGCAAACGGGAUUAGAUACCCCAGUAGUCC